UCAGACGUGGGAGUCUGCGAGAGAAUGGCAGCUCCAAGAUGAAGGCAGGAAUGUGAGAUGCCAGCUCCUUCAGGAUUGAACAGCUUUAUAUAAACUAACAGAGAGGGCAAGUUUAUGAAGUGGAGACAGGAUCUAAUUCUGUACUCAGAAUCUGCCAUCUGCUGAUCCCAAGCUUUUAUAUGAGGUGCAAGGUGCCCAUACUGGAGGCCUGAGCUCAGCCUUUUGGGGUCAGGAGCAUGACAGCCAUGAACCAG
rnacentral:lncRNA from 1 species